UACAGAGGGUGCAAGCGUUAAUCGGAAUUACUGGGCGUAAAGCGUGCGUAGUCGGUUAUCUAAGUCAGGUGUGAAAUCCCCGGGCUCAACCUGGGAAUUGCAUUUGAGACUGGAUAGCUAGAGUUCGGCAGAGGGAAGUGGAAUUCCAGGUGUAGCGGUGAAAUGCGUAGAUAUCUGGAGGAAUACCGGUGGCGAAGGCGGCAUCCUGGACCGGCAUUGACGCUGAGGAGCGAAAGCCAGGGGAGCAAACGGG
rnacentral:rRNA from 1 species